GAUGAACGCUGGCGGCGUGCCUAAUACAUGCAAGUCGAGCGAACAGACGAGAGUGCUUGCACUCUCUGACGUUAGCGGCGGACGGGUGAGUAACACGUGGGUAACCUACCUAUAAGCCUGGGAUAACUUCGGGAAACCUGAGCUAAUACCGGAUAAUAUUUAGCUUCGCAUGUAGCAAUAGUGAAAGACGGUUCUGCUGUCACUUAUAGAUGGACCCGCGGUGUAUUAGCUAGUUGGUGAGGUAACGGCUCACCAAGGCAACGAUGAAUAGCCGACCUGAUGGGGUGAUCGACCGCACUAGGACUGAGACGCGGCCCAGACGCCUACGGGAGGCAGCAGUAGGGAAUCUUCCGCAAUGGACGAAAGUCGGACGGAGCAAUGCCGCGUGAGUGAGGAAGGUUUUCGUAUCGUAAAACUCUGUUGUAAGGGAAGAACCAGUACGGUAGUAACUGAACGUACCUUGACGGUAGCUUACCAGAAAGCCACGGCUAACUACGUG
rnacentral:rRNA from 1 species